rnacentral:rRNA from 1 species
GAUGAACGCUGGCGGCGUGCCUAAUACAUGCAAGUCGAGCGAACAGACGAGGAGCUUGCUCCUCUGACGUUAGCGGCGGACGGGUGAGUAACACGUGGAUAACCUACCUAUAAGACUGGGAUAACUUCGGGAAACCGGAGCUAAUACCGGAUAAUAUAUUGAACCGCAUGGUUCAAUAGUGAAAGACGGUUUUCCUGUCACUUAUAGAUGGAUCCGCGCCGCAUUAGCUAGUUGGUAAGGUAACGGCUUACCAAGGCAACGAUGCGUAGCCGACCUGAGAGGGUGAUCGGCCACACUGGAACUGGGACACGGUCCAGACUCCUACGGGAGGCAGCAGUAGGGAAUCUUCCGCAAUGGGCGAAAGCUUGACGGAGCAACGCCGCGUGAGUGAUGAAGGUCUUCGGAUCGUAAAACUCUGUUAUUAGGGAAGAACAAAUGUGUAAGUAACUAUGCACGUCUUGACGGUACCUAAUCAGAAAGCAACGGCUAACUACGUG